UCCGUUGUGGUCUAGUGGCUAGGAUUUGCCGCUCUCAAAGAGAGUCCAACACGCUCUAAAAAGCGCCGGCAAGGCCCGGGUUCAAUUCCCGGCGACGGAA